rnacentral:rRNA from 1 species
AUUGAACGCUGGCGGCAUGCCUUACACAUGCAAGUCGAACGGCAGCACGGGAGCAAUCCUGGUGGCGAGUGGCGAACGGGUGAGUAAUAUAUCGGAACGUGCCCAGUCGUGGGGGAUAACGCAGCGAAAGCUGUGCUAAUACCGCAUACGAUCUAAGGAUGAAAGCGGGGGAUCGCAAGACCUCGCGCGAUUGGAGCGGCCGAUAUCAGAUUAGCUAGUUGGUGGGGUAAAGGCCCACCAAGGCGAAGAUAUGUAGCUGGUCUGAGAGGACGACCAGCCACACUGGAACUGAGACACGGUCCAGACUCCUACGGGAGGCAGCAGUGGGGAAUUUUGGACAAUGGGCGCAAGCCUGAUCCAGCAAUGCCGCGUGCAGGAUGCAGGCAUUCGGGUUGUAAACUGCUUUUGUACGGAACGAAACGGCCCUUUCUAAUACAGGGGGCUAAUGACGGUACCGUAAGAAUAAGCACCGGCUAACUACGUGCCAGCCGCCGCGGUAAAAC